rnacentral:rRNA from 1 species
GAGGAAUAUUGGACAAUGGGGGCAACCCUGAUCCAGCCAUGCCGCGUGAGUGAAGAAGGCCUUCGGGUUGUAAAGCUCUUUCAAUAGUGAAGAUAAUGACGGUAGCUAUAGAAGAAGCCCCGGCUAAAUUCGUGCCAGCAGCCGCGGUAAUACGAAUGGGGCAAGCGUUGUUCGGAAUCACUGGGCUUAAAGCGUGCGUAGGCGGUUAUGAAAGUCAGAAGUGAAAGCCCAGGGCUCAACCCUGGAACUGCUUUUGAAACUCCAUAACUAGAAUCCGGGAGGGGUCAGUAGAAUUCCUAGUGUAGAGGUGAAAUUCGCAGAUAUUAGGAGGAAUACCAGUGGCGUAGGCGACUGACUGGACCGGCAUUGACGCUGAGGUACGAAAGCGUGGGUAGCAAAC